UGUUGACCUCGAAUCAGGUAGGAAUACCCGCUGAAC
rnacentral:rRNA from 1 species